UAUUUUUUCCAGAGGUGUCUAACUUCUUCAAUAUAAAGACACAGGAUGACUGUUUAAACAGGACCUUUGUCAUCAGUUUCAAAACACUGAAGGGGUUAAUGAAAUAAAAACUCUACUCUGACUUUAUGUAGUUUUGUAAAGCUGUCUCUUUUUUUUUUUUAAAUGGCAGGGUUGAAAGGGACCUCAGGAGGGCAUCUAGUCCAAUCCCUUGCUCAAAGCAGGACUAAUCCCCGGACAGAUNUAAAAUGGCAGGGUUGAAAGGGACCUCAGGAGGUCAUCUAGUCCAAUCCCUUGCUCAAAGCAGGACUAAUCCCCGGACAGAUUUUUGCCCCAGGUCCCUAAAUGGCUACUUAAGGACUGAACUCACAACUCCGGGUUUAGCGGGCUAAUGCUUAAACCACUGAGCUAUGGAGAACUUGUGGGGCAUCCUGUGUGCUGAAUCACAUUCCUUCCAGCUCCCUCUGGUUGUCAGUGGACAAACCCAGCUUGACAUUUUUCCGCAUCUUCCAUUGACUUCCAUCAGCAACACAACAAAGUACUCCUGCUCAUAUUGUUAG
rnacentral:lncRNA from 1 species